CCCAGACUCCUACGGGAGGCAGCAGUGGGGGAUAUUGCACAAUGGGGGGAACCCUGAUGCAGCGACGCCGCGUGGGUGAAGAAGCGCCUCGGCGCGUAAAGCCCUGUCAGCAGGGAAGAAAAUGACGGUACCUGAAGAAGAAGCCCCGGCUAACUACGUGCCAGCAGCCGCGGUAAUACGUAUGGAGCAAGCGUUAUCCGGAUUUACUGGGUGUAAAGGGAGCGCAGGCGGCGCGCCAAGUCUGAUGUGAAACCCCGGGGCUCAACCCCGGGACUGCAUUGGAAACUGGCGGGCUGGAGUGUCGGAGGGGCAGGCGGAAUUCCUGGUGUAGCGGCGAAAUGCGUAGAUAUCAGGAGGAACACCGGUGGCGAAGGCGGCCUGCUGGACGACAGCUGACGCUGAGGCUCGAAAGCGUGGGGAGCAAACAGGAUUAGAUACCCCAGUAAAA
rnacentral:rRNA from 1 species